GCAAGGUUGGCCGAGUGGUCUAAGGCGGUGGAUUCAAGAUCCACUAUCGAAAAAUGCGUGAGUUCAAAUUUUACACCUUGCA